AUCAGGAACACACACUGUCCUUGGUUGUUGAGUCUAUCUAAAUGAAUGGGCUCCUGUAAAGACACCAAGAUAAGAGACACAGCUUAAAGAUUUCCAGUAUUUUGAUUUUAAUUCAGUGCUGGUACCUGAAAGAAAGUAAUGCUGAAAAGCAAACAAGAAGUUGAUGGAAUGGAAUGUGUCUUGUGUGGAACAUAAACACCAGCACAGGGAAUUAGAACGGGUGGAUUUACAGACAGGAAACUCAAACCUAACAUCACAGCAUGAUCUGAC